CAUGUUAUUGGCAAGGGAAAAUGGAGGCAUCUUGCAAUAGAAAAUGGGAGUUCAAGAAAUGGAUAUUUGGAUCCUGUUGAAAGGGAGGACUUGUUUUUGGGCAGCGAUGGGCAACCAAAGCUCUCUGUGUCCCUUGCCCGGCAGUGUCUCUUCAAUGCUCUGCAUUUGUUGGACUGUUCUGAUAUAAAAGGUUUGAAGUCCAGUUUACCUUCCAGUAUUUCCUUGGAGGAAAAUGAAUCAAGUGAAGCAGGAUCUCUCAAGAAUUCAAACCACAAGGGUUCAACUGGCCUAGAUACCAAAGCAUCAACUUUAUCUGUAGGCUUAGGUCAGCUUAAUGCAAAUGGGGA
rnacentral:misc_RNA from 1 species